ACUCUGAGACGUGAUACCGAGCCGCUUCAGGCGAAGUCAUUAAUCCUAUGCUGCCUAGAAAAGCCCAGUAGCGAGUUGACAUGGUGCCCGUACCCCAAACCAACACAGGUGGACAGGUAGAGCAUACCAAGGCGAGUGGGAUAACUAUGGUUAAGGAACUCGGCAAAUUUCCUCCGUAACUUCGGGAUAAGGAGGACCCCAGCAGCGUGACGAGACUUGCUCUCCGAGCGUGAAGGGGUGGCACAAAAUUGAGGGAAGCGACUGUUUACCAAAAACACAGCAGCGUGCUAAGCCGUAAGGCGCUGUAUACGCUGUGACUCCUGCCCGGUGCUGGAAGGUUACGGGGAUGGGUUAGUCCUUCGGGACGAAGCUCUGAACCUAAGCCCCAGUAAACGGCGGCCGUAACUAUAGCGGUCCUAAGGUAGCGAAAUUCCUUGUCGGGUAAGUUCCGACCUGCACGAAUGGAGUAACGACUUCCCUACUGUCUCAACCAUAGACCCAGCGAAAUUAAGUACGAGUAAAGAUGCUCGUUAGCUGCAGAAGGACGGAAACACCCCGUGGACCUUUACUAUAACUUGAUGUUGUGUUUUGUCAUAUGUUGUGUAGGAUAGGUGGGAGACAAGGAAGCAUGGACGCUAGUCUGUGUGGAGUCAUCGUUGAAAUACCACCCUGCAUAUGGUGAGGCUCUAACCUAGACCCGUUAUCCGGGUUGGGGACAGCGUCAGGCGGGUAGUUUAACUGGGGCGGUUGCCUCCUAAAGAGUAACGGAGGCGCCCAAAGGUUCCCUCAGCCUGGUUGGCAAUCAGGCGUCGAGUGCAAUGGCAAAAGGGAGCUUGACUGCGAGACCUACAAGUCGAGCAGGAGCGAAAGCUGGGCAUAGUGAUCCGGCGGUUGCGUGUGGAAGCGCCGUCGCUCAACGGAUAAAAGGUACCCCGGGGAUAACAGGCUAAUCUUGCCCAAGCGUCCAUAGCGACGGCAAGGUUUGGCACCUCGAUGUCGGCUCAUCGCAUCCUGGGGCUGAAGCAGGUCCCAAGGGUUGGGCUGUUCGCCCAUUAAAGCGGUACGCGAGCUGGGUUCAGAACGUCGUGAGACAGUUCGGUCCCUAUCCUCUGUAGCCGUAGGUGAAUUGAGGAAAGCUGUCCCUAGUACGAGAGGACCGGGACGGACGCAGCUCUCGUGUGCCAGUUGUCCUGCCAAGGGCAUGGCUGGUUAGCGACCUGCGGAAAGGAUAACCGCUGAAAGCAUCUAAGCGGGAAGCCUCUUCCGAGAUGAAUUCACCCACAGGGUUAACCUGGUAAGGCCCGUGGUAGACCACCACGUUGAUAGGCCGGAAGUGUAAGCGAGGCAACACGUUCAGCUGACCGGUACUAAUCGGCCGAGGGCUUGAACC
rnacentral:rRNA from 1 species